CGGUAUUUUGACCGUGCUAAGGUAGCAUAAUCAAUUGUUUUUUAAUUGAAAACUAGUAUGAACGGUUUAAUUUACUUAAUUAGUUUGUAAUUUUUAAUAGUAAGUUAAAUAUAAAGUAAGAAUUCUUUAAUAAAUUAGGGGACGAUAAGACCCUAAAAGCUUUAUGAUUGGCAUUUAAUUGGUGAUAGCGGUGUUAUUAAUUCACUGGGGCAGUGAGUUUAGGUAUAUUUAAGUAUAAUUAAAAGCUCCUUUAAAUAAAGAUUUCAUGUAUAAGUUACUUUAGGGAUAACAGUGCAAUAUAUUUGGGGAGACCAUAUCUAUAAAUAUGAUUGCAACCUCGAUGUG
rnacentral:rRNA from 1 species